rnacentral:rRNA from 1 species
UACGUAGGGUCCGAGCGUUGUCCGGAAUUACUGGGCGUAAAGGGCGCGUAGGCGGCCACCGCAAGUCGACUGUGAAAUCUCCGGGCUUACCCGGAAAGGUCAGCCGAUACUGCGGGGCUAGAGUGCAGAAGGGGCAACUGGAAUUCUCGGUGUAGCGGUGAAAUGCGUAGAUAUCGAGAGGAACACCUGCGGCGAAGGCGGGUUGCUGGGCUGACACGUGACGCUGAUGCGCGAAAGCUAGGGGAGCGAACGGG